GAAAGAAGAGACCUUGAAAAACAGCACAGUUGUAAGAGAGUGUAUCUUCACUUCCUCGCUGCUGGAUAUCCUGACCUGAUUGAGCAACGUAAGAUGCAGGGAAGGUGAAACGGAGACAUGCCUAAACUUAUCCCUGGCUACACAUACUCUGUGGAUUGGUUUUUUAUCAUCUAGAUCUGAGUCUGGAUGGAGUGUUCUAUAACCCAUCGCAGCUUGUAGGAGCUUAAGGCAGACAGUUGCUGAAGAGUCAUAUGGCAGGAGGAGCAUCCUGGAGCUCUACAGAGUGGUGCAAGAGAGAGUUAUGGUUCUGAAGGUUUUUCAUAAAAUCAUAGAAUCCUGAGAGUUUCUACAGAAAAGCUUACAGUUUCAUUCUGAAGGAAGCUUGCAGUACUCUGUCAAAAAUUUAGGCUGUCACUGUAUCUGCUGGGUGAAGAAGUUGUAAAAGACAAAUUACCUUGGAAAUAACACACUAAAGAUGUGCAAAGAGGUCUCUUCAUCUAGCUUAUCUCUUAAGGUGCUGAUAAGAAAUUCCUUCCUCCCCACUCCCAUCCCAAACCUCAUCAUGAAUCCUCACUGAAAACAACUCUCCCAGUCUCCUGAGAGGUGAGGCAACUCCCUGCACUCCACCCUCCUUUCUGCUCCAGCACAGACUGAAAGCUGAAGGACUGAAAUACCAUAGAAGAAGGCUGCUCUUUGCACCGUCAUUGCAUCAAUCACACAGGGUUUGCAGAUGUGAUGAGUACAAGUUGCCUCAGGAGAAAGCAUGCAGAUGUCUACUUGUCUGUAGAGUGACUGAGCCUGAUAAUCUGAUCACAAGUUUGGCAUUAAUUUCAUGGCAUGGCUUCAUGGACAUUUCCUUUCCACAUGUAAGAUGGUGACUAGCAACAAGCACUACUAUCAAUCAGUUAACAUACUUGGGAAUGUGCGUGAUGUUUAGCAAAGAGUUGAGCUGAUGGCACUUUGUAGCCCCCUGAAAUCCUACCAUGCAAAUCCUGUCUGCCUCCAAGGCCCCUGGACAUCUGAGCUGGCUUUGGAAAUACCAGCCUCGUUAGCAGUGACAUUAGCAGAUAUUCUUAAAUCAGGAUGAUUCAGUUAGUGUAGAAUGUGGAGGAAAAUACCCACCUCCAGAGCUGUCCUGAGUUGCUAGGCUGCUCCGUAGUCUCAUGCCUGAGAGAAUUACUUUUAGCGGCAGGGGAUUGCUCUGGGAUGGGGCUGUCCCAGUUGAUGUCAGACACACAAACUCAGCUUCCCUGACAUCAUUUGGCAACAUGAUACAAAAGAAAUGACAUACAUCAUGGAAAAGGCAUGAGGCACAUCCUGACCUUGUUGCUCUGCACACUCGCCACCCAGCAAAAAAAAAAAAAAAAAAAAAAAGUCUGCAUAGCUAGACUGUUUCCAUUAGCUGAAGUAAGCACCACUU
rnacentral:lncRNA from 7 species